rnacentral:rRNA from 1 species
CUAAGAGCGAAUGGUGGAUGCCUUGACUGGUAAAGGCGAUGAAGGACGUACUAGACUGCGAUAAGCUACGGGGAGCUGUCAAGAAGCUUUGAUCCGUAGAUUUCCGAAUGGGGCAACCCAAUGUAUAGAGAUAUACAUUACCUAUAUAGGAGCGAACGAGGGGAAUUGAAACAUCUUAGUACCCUCAGGAAAAGAAAUCAAUAGAGAUUGCGUCAGUAGCGGCGAGCGAAAGCGCAAGAGGGCAAACCCAGUGCUUGCACUGGGGGUUGUAGGACUGCAAUGUGCAAGAGGUGAGUUUAGCAGAACAUUCUGGAAAGUAUAGCCAUAGAGGGUGAUAGUCCCGUAUGCGAAAAACAAACCUUAGCUAGCAGUAUCCUGAGUAGGGCGGGACACGAGAAAUCCUGUCUGAAGCUGGGUCGACCACGAUCCAACCCUAAAUACUAAUACCAGAUCGAUAGUGCACAAGUACCGUGAGGGAAAGGUGAAAAGAACUGAGGUGAUCAGAGUGAAAUAGAACCUGAAACCAUUUGCUUACAAUCAUUCAGAGCACUAUGUAGCAAUACAGUGUGAUGGACUGCCUUUUGCAUAAUGAGCCUGCGAGUUGUGGUGUCUGGCAAGGUUAAGCAAACGCGAAGCCGUAGCGAAAGCGAGUCUGAAUAGGGCGCUUAGUCAGAUGCUGCAGACCCGAAACGAAGUGAUCUAUCCAUGAGCAAGUUGAAGCUAGUGUAAGAACUAGUGGAGGACUGAACCCAUAGGCGUUGAAAAGCCCCGGGAUGACUUGUGGAUAGGGGUGAAAGGCCAAUCAAACUUCGUGAUAGCUGGUUCUCUCCGAAAUAUAUUUAGGUAUAGCGUUGUGUCGUAAUAUAAGGGGGUAGAGCACUGAAUGGGCUAGGGCAUACACCAAUGUACCAAACCCUAUCAAACUCCGAAUACCUUAUAUGUAAUCACAGCAGUCAGGCGGCGAGUGAUAAAAUCCGUCGUCAAGAGGGAAACAACCCAGACUACCAGCUAAGGUCCCUAAAUCUUACUUAAGUGGAAAACGAUGUGAAGUUACUUAAACAACCAGGAGGUUGGCUUAGAAGCAGCCAUCCUUUAAAGAAAGCGUAAUAGCUCACUGGUCUAGUGAUUUUGCGCGGAAAAUAUAACGGGGCUAAAGUAAGUACCGAAGCUGUAGACUUGACUUUGUCAAGUGGUAGGAGAGCGUUCUAUUUGCGUCGAAGGUAUACCGGUAAGGAGUGCUGGAGCGAAUAGAAGUGAGCAUGCAGGCAUGAGUAGCGAUAAUUAAUGUGAGAAUCAUUAACGCCGUAAACCCAAGGUUUCCUACGCGAUGCUCGUCAUCGUAGGGUUAGUCGGGUCCUAAGUCGAGUCCGAAAGGGGUAGACGAUGGCAAAUUGGUUAAUAUUCCAAUACCAACAUUAGUGUGCGAUGGAAGGACGCUUAGGGCUAAGGGGGCUAGCGGAUGGAAGUGCUAGUCUAAGGUCGUAGGUGCUUAUACAGGCAAAUCCGUAUAAGAAUACACCGAGAACUGAAAGGCUUUUUGAAGUCUUCGGAUGGAUAGAAGAACCCCUGAUGCCGUCGAGCCAAGAAAAGUUUCUAAGUUUAGCUAAUGUUGCCCGUACCGUAAACCGACACAGGUGGGUGGGAUGAGUAUUCUAAGGCGCGUGGAAGAACUCUCUUUAAGGAACUCUGCAAAAUAGCACCGUAUCUUCGGUAUAAGGUGUGGUUCGCUUCGUAUUAGGAUUUACUCCGAAAGCGAAGAAACUUACAACAAAGAGUCCCUCCCGACUGUUUACCAAAAACACAGCACUCUGCUAACUCGUAAGAGGAUGUAUAGGGUGUGACGCCUGCCCGGUGCUCGAAGGUUAAUUGAUGGGGUUAGCAUUAGCGAAGCUCUUGAUCGAAGCCCGAGUAAACGGCGGCCGUAACUAUAACGGUCCUAAGGUAGCGAAAUUCCUUGUCGGUUAAAUACCGACCUGCAUGAAUGGCGUAACGAGAUGGGAGCUGUCUCAAAGAGGGAUCCAGUGAAAUUGUAGUGGAGGUGAAAAUUCCUCCUACCCGCGGCAAGACGGAAAGACCCCGUGGACCUUUACUACAGCUUGACACUGCUACUUGGAUAAGAAUGUGCAGGAUAGGUGGGAGGCUUUGAGUAUAUGACGCCAGUUGUAUAUGAGCCAUUGUUGAGAUACCACUCUUUCUUAUUUGGGUAGCUAACCAGCUUGAGUUAUCCUCAAGUGGGACAAUGUCUGGUGGGUAGUUUGACUGGGGCGGUCGCCUCCCAAAUAAUAACGGAGGCUUACAAAGGUUGGCUCAGAACGGUUGGAAAUCGUUCGUAGAGUAUAAAGGUAUAAGCCAGCUUAACUGCAAGACAUACAAGUCAAGCAGAGACGAAAGUCGGUCUUAGUGAUCCGGUGGUUCUGUGUGGAAGGGCCAUCGCUCAAAGGAUAAAAGGUACCCCGGGGAUAACAGGCUGAUCUCCCCCAAGAGCUCACAUCGACGGGGAGGUUUGGCACCUCGAUGUCGGCUCAUCGCAUCCUGGGGCUGGAGCAGGUCCCAAGGGUAUGGCUGUUCGCCAUUUAAAGCGGUACGCGAGCUGGGUUCAGAACGUCGUGAGACAGUUCGGUCCCUAUCUGCCGUGGGCGUAAGAAGAUUGAAGAGAUUUGACCCUAGUACGAGAGGACCGGGUUGAACAAACCACUGGUGUAGCUGUUGUUCUGCCAAGAGCAUCGCAGCGUAGCUAAGUUUGGAAAGGAUAAACGCUGAAAGCAUCUAAGCGUGAAGCCAACUCUAAGAUGAAUCUUCUCUAAGCUCUCUAGAAGACUACUAGUUUGAUAGGCUGGGUGUGUAAUGGAUGAAAGUCCUUUAGCUGACCAGUACUAAUAGAGCGUUUGGCUUAUCU